rnacentral:rRNA from 1 species
UGCGUAGGUGGCGCGUUAAGUCGGUUGUGAAAUCCCGGGCUCAACCCGGGAACUGCUUCCGAUACUGGCGUGCUUGAGGCCGGUAGGGGUCGACUGGAACAGACGGUGGAGCGGUGAAAUGCGUAGAUAUCGUCUGGAACGCCUGUGGUGAAAACGGGUGACUGGGCCGGUUCUGACACUGAGGCACGAAAGCGUGGGGAGCGAACGGGAUUAGAUACCCCGGUAGUCCACGCCCUAAACGAUGCAGACUAGAUUGCAGCGGGUCUUACCCCGUUGCGGUCGGAGCGAAAUUGUUAAGUCUGCCACCUGGGAAGUACGGUCGCAAGGCUAAA